GAAGGCACAGCUCAGUGGUAGAGUGUGUGCUUAGCAUGCACAAAGUCCUGGGUUCAAUCCCCAGUACUUCCA
rnacentral:tRNA from 1 species